AUGGGUUAUGUAAACAGAUCAUUUUCCCCCACCAAUCAUAUUUCAUAAAUGCCUUGUUAACUUCCUCUUUAUAUAUUCUUAUUUUUAUUUUAAUUAGGUCACUAAUCCUCCCUGGGAUCAAGAUCUCAGCUAUCCAGCCACUCAGGCACAUCCUCACUCCCAUAUCUGGUGGUAUCUGCAACUACUGUAGUAUCUGUGAAUGAAGAAGAUGUCCAGCGCAGUUGAAUUCCUGGACCUACAGAUCAAGAUUCAAGAACAUCGUCUUAUUACAGAUCUACAUCGUAAAAAGACAGCAACCAACAGCCUACUCCACUUCUCUCCUUUCCACCCGUUUCCACACACGUUGAGGUAUACCCACCGGUCAGUUCCUGAGAGCGAAGAGGAAUUGGAAUACAGUGGAAUCCUUCAAACUACAAUCCCAGGAUCUGUCUAGGAGAUUCUGUAAACGUGGGUAUCCCAAAAAGCUAAUUUCCCGGGCUUACCAGAGGGCAGCUGGAUCAAGGAGGGAGACAUUGCUGAUGCCUGCUGUAAAGACACCUGACGACAAACUUUGCAUAAUUUCAACAUACCAUAAUCAAUGGAACCAAAUGAAGUCCAUAUUUGAGAACCAUUGGAAUAUUCUCAGGUCUGACAAUAGAAUUCAUGCAAUUAUUCCUGAAAGACCAUUAGUGGUGUCCCGGAAAGCUCCCAAUUUACGCGACAUCUUGACACGCAGCCACUUCCAAAGACCUACUGUCAAUAUAGGGAGAGGAAUGAGGUACCAAGGUUCAUACGCGUGUGAUGAUUGCAACAUUUGCCAGCACAUGACAGCCACAAAGACUUUCAUUCAUCCCAACAGUGGCAAACAGUACCAGAUCAGGGGAUUUAUCAACUGUAAUACCAGCAAGGUGGUGUAUGCAUUGACCUGUCCAUGCCACAAAAUUUAUGUUGGCCAAACCAGCCAGCAAUUGCUAAAAUGCAUAUAAAAGCACUUAUCCACCAUCGCACUAGCUUGGAGAGAUGCUGCCCAGGAUAGAGCCUUAACAUCGGUUGCCUUACAUUUUCAUCAACACCAUUCAGGGCGUGUGGCCGGGCUAAAGGUCGUGGGAUUGGAGAGAGUCAUGACAGACCCUAGAGGGCGACGAAUAAACUACUUCAAUGCGAAUCCAAAUGGAUAUAUGAACUGAAAUCAGAAGCACCUAGGGGGCUCAAUGAGGAACUCUUGUUCACAGGAUUCCUGGAUAACUCACACUUACUUGGGCUACCCUGGUGAUUAACCCACUAGCGUUUGACUAUUGGACCCUACUCGGAACAACCCUGAAGAGGCUCCUGUGGAUCUUUGGGAACCUUCCAUUAUCCAUCGUCCUUGUCAUCCAUCAAUUGUGUCGCUUUUGGCCCCCUUGUCCAUAAUCUGGGGAUUGAUGGACCUAUUUAUCACCAAUACAAAGUGGAUGACUAUUCAGGCUCUGUAUAUUUAGAUCUUGUAUAUAUACAUGUUUUUCAUGUAUAGUAAUAGAUGAACAUUAUAUUUUUUCUUGACAUAUUUUACUAUUAUUUAAAUAUUUGACACUUGUUAGUAUUUAUAUUGUCCAAUUAGUGGAAUAAUUUUUUCGCUAUAGGUUAGCCCUCAAUGAACGCAGCUGAUGUGACCGAAUGUUAUGCCCCAGGUUGCCCCGCUACCCCAAAUAGUCCUGCCACCCAGAUUAGUCUAGUCCUCUUCGCCCCCUUUAGGAUUCCACACUUUAUCAGGUCCACUGACGGGGUCCUGACAGGUCUCCGGUUUGCAGUAUAGUCCCCCUUUAGCACGGUAAUCCAUGCAUCAAAAUCUCUUAAGUAAUUAUUUGCAUAAUAUUAGUUUAUUCUCUUUCUAUACCAAUGUGUCCUUUGCACAUGCGCCGUCCCCCUGUUCCUUUAUUUAGACUUGCGACUCUUGAAAGGGCCGCAAUCCUGUCAGCGCCUCCGGCGCAUGCGCUAUCUUCCUUGUGUACAUUUGCGACCAUUAGGAGGGCCGCGAUCCUCUCUGCAUCUACGCUUGUGAUUUUUUUGUUCUAUAAAUCUGCACAUGCGUGGCAACAUAAGUGCACGAGCGAUACUGGUGAUAUUGCGCAUGUGCGUAUUCUUGUGAGUGUCAUACUCAGCUGGCACAUGUGCAAUGUGUAUUCACUGCACUUGAUGCAUCACAAGUCCUAGCGCAUGCGCUGUAAACCAUUGAUUGGCCGGCAGCGUUGUGGGGAACUGACAAGGAUGACCGCUUCCGGUCCAUGGACACGUGAUCUGGUACCUUUACUUUAUUUCCCUUUUUCAUUUUACUUCUCUUUGGAGGGCGACUUUAUACUCUGCUUGCGGAGACACAUUUACACUCAUUAUUGUCAGGGUCUGGACUGGUAUGCGGGGAGGACACGGGAGUGGAUCCUCUGUGUCAGUGAGGCGAUGGCGUGGGCCGUACCAGGGGAACGGAAUCUUAGGGGUUACUGGUUUUCACCAGAGCCCACCGCAAAGUGGGAUGGACUUGCUGCGGCAGGUAACCCCCAGGUCGUUCCACCCGAUAGCGACUCAACCUCACUGACAGCUGAGACACGCGCGGUACACAAGGACAAGGCUAGGUCAGACGUAGCAGAAGGUCAAGGCAGGCGGCAAGGUUCGUAGUCAGGGGCAACAGCAAGGGGUCUGGAUACACAGGCUAGGGAUACACACAAAAUGCUUUCUCAGGGCACUAAGGCAAUAAGAUCCGGCGAGGACAGGAAGGGGAAGUGGGUUUAUAUGUGUGGGAGUGAUUGGGAACAGAUUGGACCAGGCACUAAUUAACAGUGCACUGGCCCUUUAAAUCUGAGUGACCCGGCGUGCGCGCCCUAGAGAGUGGGGCCGCGCGCGCCGGGACUGAUCAGCAGGAAACGGGAUGUGACCCGUGGGCAGGCAUGUCCCGCUGCGUGGAUCGCAUCCCUGCUGGAGGAAACAGAGCAGCGAGUCUGACCGGGGCGCUGCAACCAGGAGGUGAAUGCCGCGAGCGUUCCGUGGGAGGAGAGGGACCCGGAGUGCUCAGCGUGACAGUACCCCCCCCCCUUGGGUCUCCCCCUCUCUUUGGAACCAAGGAAUUUGUGGAUGAGUUCCUUGUCCAAAAUAUUGGCCUCAGGCUCCCAGGACCUCUCUUCAGGACCACAAUUCUCCCAGUCAAUUAAAAAAAAUCUUUUACCUCGGACAACUUUGGAGGCGAAGAUCUCCUUCACGGAGAAUACAUCAGAGGAUCCAGAGACAGGAGCAGGAACAGUGACCUUGGGAGAAUAGCGGUUAAGUAUGAGAGGUUUGAGAAGAGAAACAUGGAAAGAGUUGGGAAUACGAAGAGAAGAAGGAAGAUGGAACUUGUAGGAGACAGAAUUGAUUUGAUUUUUGAUUUUAAAUGGCCUGAGGUACCGAGGACCAAGCUUGUAGCUAAGGACACGGAAACGGAUGUAUUUGGCAGAGAGCCACACUUUGUCACCGGGGGCAAAGACAGGAGGAAUUCUUCUCUUUUCAUCAGCAUGUCUCUUCAUGCGAGAUGAGGCCAGUAAGAGCGACUUUUGAGUUUCCUUCCAGAUAGAGGAGAAGUCUUGUGUCAAUUCAUCUACGGCAGGAA